rnacentral:rRNA from 1 species
AUACGUAGGUGACAAGCGUUAUCCGGAUUUACUGGGCGUAAAGGGCGUGUAGGCGGUCUCGCAAGUCAGAAGUGAAAUUCCUGAGCUCAACUCGGGCGCUGCUUCUGAAACUGCAGGACUUGAGUGCUGGAGGGGAUAGCGGAAUUCCUAGUGGAGCGGUAAAAUGCGCAGAUAUUAGGAUGAACACCGGUGGCGAAGGCGGCUAUCUGGACAGUAACUGACGCUGAGGCGCGAAAGCGUGGGGAGCAAACAGGAUUAGAUCCCCUGGUAGUCCACGCCGUAAACGAUGAAUACUAGGUGUAGGGGGUAUCGACUCCCUCUGUGCCGCAGUUAACACAAUAAGUAUUCCGCCUGGGGAGUACGGCCGCAAGGUUGAAACUCAAAUGAAUUGACGGGG